GACGAACGCUGGCGGCGUGCUUAACACAUGCAAGUCGAACGGAAAGGCCUUUUCGGAGGUACUCGAGUGGCGAACGGGUGAGUAACACGUGGGUGAUCUGCCCUGCACUCUGGGAUAAGCCUGGGAAACUGGGUCUAAUACCGGAUAGGACCGCACUUUAGUGUGUGUGGUGGAAAGUUUUUUCGGUGUAGGAUGAGCCCGCGGCCUAUCAGCUUGUUGGUGGGGUAAUGGCCUACCAAGGCGGCGACGGGUAGCCGGACUGAGAGGUUGGUCGGCCACAUUGGGACUGAGAUACGGCCCAGACUCCUACGGGAGGCAGCAGUGGGGAAUAUUGCACAAUGGGCGCAAGCCUGAUGCAGCGACGCCGCGUGGGGGAUGACGGCCCUCGGGUUGUAAACUCCUUUCGCCAGGGACGAAGCGUUUUGUGACGGUACCUGGAGAAGAAGCACCGGCUAACUACGUG
rnacentral:rRNA from 1 species